rnacentral:lncRNA from 1 species
UAUACUAAAAUAGAAAUCUUAAUAAAAUAUUAAAAUAUAAACCUUAAUUAAAUCCUAGUCAAAAUCUAGUCAAACCUUGGUCAAACCUUAGACAAAUCUUAGUCAAAUCUUGAUCAAAUCUUGGUCAAAUCUUAGUCAAAUCUUAAUCAAAUCCUAAAUGGUCCUAACCAAAUCCUAAACAAAUCCUAAUCAAACUCCAAAUAAAUACUAACCAAAUCUUAAUCAAAUCUUAAAUAAAUCCUAGUCAAAUCCUAAAUAAAUCUAAUCAAAUCCUAAAAAAUCCUAGUCAAAUCCUAGACAAAUCCUAAAUAAGCCCUAACCAAAUUCUAAAAAAAUCUUAAAAAAAUUUUAGUCAAAUUUUAAUCAAAUUCUAAUCAAAUCUUAAACAAACUCUAACCAAAUCCUAAACAAAUCCUAAAAAAAUCCUAAUCAAAUCCUAUCAAAUUUUAAUCAAAUCCUAAACAAACCAAACCAAAUCCUAAAUCAAACCCUAAAUCUUAACCAAAUCCUAAUCAAAUUCUAAACAAACAAAACCAAACUCUAAACCAAACCCUAAAUCUUAAUCAAACCUUACACAAACCUUAAUGAAAUCCUAACCUAAACCAAAUCCUAAUCUUAAAAAAAUCUUAAAUCAACCCAAAAUCCUAAUCCUAACUCUAACCAAAUCUUAAUCCUAAUCAAACCUUAAAUCAACCCAAAAUCCUAACCCUAAUCCUAAAUCGAAUCCUAAUCAA